rnacentral:lncRNA from 1 species
AGCGCAGAGAUAUAGAUGCACAGAAGUAAAAAAUAUUGUAUUGUUCUUGGAUUGAAAUGUUUGCAGGGUAGCGGUGGGUAUUGACAUGUAGAGCCAAACAGAGCUCUUCACCUGAAAGAAAAUGCUACUUGGAAGAGAGUCAGAGUCUUAAUGAGUUUGUGGAACAGAUGUAGAGGAACCGUGAAGUUGAGAGAGCUGAAAAGAUAGGGGUGCUGGUGAGAGAAUAUCACAGGGUAAAUAGGUAAAGAGUUCACAGAGUUUGGGUGGCCAUGACUGUGACUGGCUAAAGCAGAGUGGAGAUGAAGAUCAUUAUAAUGAGUGAGCAACGGCAUUGGAUGGUCAUUUAAAAGGACAUUAAAGUCACCCAGGAUCUUGGAUUGGGAUUUAAAGCUUUUUUUUUUUUUUGUCUUUUUGCCACUCCCGCAGCAUAUGGAGGCUCCCAGGCUAGGGGUCUACUUGGAGCUGUAGCCGCCGGUCUACACCAGAGCCACAGCAACAUGGGAUCCGAGGCAUGUCUGCCACCUAUACCACAGCUCAUGUUUCCUAGUCAGAUUCAUUAACCACUGAGCCACAACGGGAAUUCCAGUAUUAAAGCUUUAAAUUAUGUGCCAGAGUCUUUGUAAGGAGGUCACUGGGAUUGCAGCCAUUUAUAGGGAGAAACGGGUUUUUGUUUGUUUGUUUUGUUUUGUUUUGUUUUGUUUGGCCACCCUGCAGCAUUAUCGAUUUCCUAGGCCAGAGAUCAGAUCCGAGCAACAGUUGGGACCUACACCACAGAUGUGGCAACACCAGAUCCUUCACCUACUUACUGCACCAGGCUAGGGGUCAAACAUGUAUCCCAGCACUGCGGAGACACCACCGAUCCUGUUGUGCCACAGCAGGAACUCCAGAAAUAGUAUCUUUUUAAAGUGACAGUGAAGAAAGCUAGCUAGUUGUGCGCUGAGAUAGUAUGGUUUUUGAAAAAUGAAGAUCCUGCACUGUAGUAAACAUUAGUGGACAUAGGAAAGAGCCCAGAUGCAGCUAAGGUGGAAAUCCGGGGGAAGGCAGAUCUCUCCUAAGAGGAAAAUGAACAAGAGGGUUUUGGGUUGAUGGCUUGGUUUAAGAUUGUUACUUUCCUUUGGUUUUAACCAUUCACACAAGCAUAUUUGAAGAAUACAUGUUUUAGAAGACAGUUAAGGAAUGAGAUUUUAAGGAAAUGUCUUCAGUUCCAGAAAGACAUAGGUGUUCUUAAUCACCUGUGGUUUCUUUUGCAUGAAUAAAAUUGCCAAGAGUUCAUCUUCCGAAGAAGAAAAAGUUCAAGUGUAAGACCUGAGAUGAAUUGUAAGGUUAUCAAAAAGGCUUAUACGUUGGGACCUGUAUGCUUGCUGAGGGAGUAGCCAUUGACCUUGAAAGCAACCAGUUGUAUUGACUUUGUUAUGUUGGCACCAGGAAAGCACAGAACAGACUCUCUUGAAUAACAGGAGCCUUGCUGGACAUUUCGGUAUCCUGGAAGGGAGUUGGGGCCAUUUCUUUGGCAGAAAUUGAAAUCGUUUUCUUAACAAACAAUCCCAUCGAAGAUUGGAAAACUCUAAUACAGAACUUAAGAACAAGUGUACACAUAAUACAUAAAUAUUAUCAUAGUUAUGUUACUAAAGAACUACUGUAACUGUGGUUGUUGAUUGUUUCCACUUGCUUAGGAACUGAAGUUACAUCUCUUCAGAUAGGAGCGGUGAUCUAUGUGAUAAAGUCCUUGUGUGGCAGAAAUGUGAGGUUAGGAAUGCUUAUACCAUUUGCUUUCUCCAAGUGUGCUUUACUCUUUUAUGCUACCCUUCACUUCUGGCUUAAACAUUGUCCAGGAAAUUCACCAACACUGAACAAAGAACCAGCUCCCUUACUUGAGUUUUAUCCUUCCUCCUCUAAAAUUGACAUUCCUUGAGGCAAUGUCCUGAAAUGACUUGUCCUACUCUGGCUAAAUGGUAGUGAUCUGUGUUUAACCCCAGCAGUUUAUCAAGCAGGUUCAUUUUAUAUCAUGUCAGUGUGUAGAGAGUGACGGGAAUACAAAAGGAUAAGGAAGUUAUUUUUUCAAUGUUUAUUUUUAUUUCAUGUGAAGCAUGAUUUUGUGUACUGACAAGUAAAUGAUAUAGGUGUAGGGGAAAGAGGAACAACCACCAUAUUAUUUUGCCAGAAUUCUCAUGUUAUAGUAUCCAAAAAAUGCCGAGAAAGAUGACAUUGCAUGUUAUAAUGUUCCCUCGCAAAUAAUGGCAAAGCUUUAAUCAACUGAUAAACCAGAUGCACUCAGGAUUGAAACGCAGCUUUCAAGGUUGAAAUGCAGCAAGUGGUUCAUUGAACACUGCACAGAAGGUAAAUGAAGUGUAUAUUUUCCAAUCACAAUUGGAAUUUUAAGUGAGUGGAAUGGAAUAAACUCAGUUUGGAAUUUGAAAUAAAUUCAGCUUGGAAUGUGUCUUAGAGACCAAGGUUUAUACAAGAGCUAUACAAACCUCUCAGCAUGAAACAUGACACAAGGUGAAAUUUUCCUGGCAUCUUAGAGGAGCCAGAUAUGGAUUUAUGCAGGACCAAGGCACAGACAAUUGGUCGAGAGCUAUUUGUUUCUAUUUGGGGACAGAAACCUAGAGGCUUAUUUAAUACCCUGGGGUGGGAGUAAUAUUCCACCUCGUAGAUAGAGCUGUGUACUCUUUCUCAGAAGGUGGUAUUUUUAGUUUGAUGUUAUACCAAUAAAAUGUUUCCAUCCUAUUUUCAUUUUUCUUUCUUUUGAUGUCAGCGUCAGUAGUUCAAAAUAGCUUCAUCUAUCACACACAGUAAAAUUGAUUAGCAAAAAGGAGAAGUGGUUGGAGAAAACACAAAAUUCAACUUCUGGUAAUUCAGGAGUAGCCACUAGCAGCAAUUUACCUGCCUCGUUGCCAAAGCAGUUUUCUCAAAUUAUGAAUUCUUAUGAGUGUAUAAGUUUGAGGGGAAUCAUAAAAGAGACUAGACUUUGUAUGCCAAGCCAAAGAAGCAGUUGGUAACUAACAAUACAUCUUUUUGCUAAGGUAAGUUUAAGUCGCAAGAAGACUUAAUCUACAGAGGAGAACACCCUGCGUAUUUCUUAGGAGCUUAGAAAUGCUGAGUUAGGGCUUCAGGGAAAUGCAAGGUGCUAGACUUCAAAAAAAAAAGAGAUCAUCUGUAGACUUAGCACACUGGAAAAAUGGAGAAAAUAAAACGGGUGCAGGGCUGUGGAUUAAAUAUUCGUAGUUAGAGUUUGAGCAUUUCAGAAGUGAAAUGACGAAGUAGGUGAGCCCCAGGAACACAGGAUAAUCAAGUUUGGUGGAUUGCUUGUUUUGAGUUUAUAGUUAUUUGUAGGGAUGGAGUCAGUCCCUUGGACUACAUAUUAUAUUUUUCCGCUAAGCAGUAUUUCCAUUAAACAGUAGCUUGUGAUUGUUUGGCCUGCCUUUGCAUUCAGGUAAAAAUCAAGCUAAUACCCUGUAAUUUAGCAAAUAUUUGUUUUCCUGGCAGUGGCGGACCUGCCAGUGUUACUGUUUCAGGGGCAGAUCUGCAGUGUUUACGGUUUCCACCACUUGGAGCUUUCUAUGUAUUCAUCCCUGGAUUAGACUCAAAGUAAGCUGAUUUCAUCAAGCCACUGGGUAAUUCUGACCAUUUCAUCAGGCGAUUUUAGAACUGUAUUAUUGCAGCUGACCUGUAGACAUAAGGAAUUACUGGGUCACCCACUCACGGAAAUGUCUUUUGAUUAUGAACACACUUGCAGCAUGUGUCCAUUGAAGGUAAGGGGGAAAAUACAACAUGGUCUACUUUAAUGCCGGUUUUAGUUAAAUAUAAAAGUGGGAUUUCAGGCAUAGCUCAAUUGUAUCUUCUGAAAAUUAAGUAGUUAAGCAAUUCUGUGUAGAAACAAGAUGUCUUUGAGGAACUGAACAUUCGGAUGAAGCAACCGUGUCCUUCAAACCACAUCCUUCCUGCUGCCUGUGGGAAAGAGGUGGUAUUUGUGUUGGGCUCUGAGCACACGCAGAAUAGAUCUGUGUGUAUUUCCAUAAAUAAAAGGACAUUGUGUGUGUGUUUGGCACCUGUGAUGGCAAGAGCAGUUGAUUGCUUCCGAAAGCUUUGUUCCAACUCCAGGAUCAGCAGGAUUUUUAAACACUGAACUAGGAACUGGACACUAAAAAUACAUACACAGGCGACCUCUGAUAGCAUUAGGUUUUGGAAGCAGGGUGAAGGCUUGCAAAUUGUGUUACAGCUGUGUCAUUACUCUAAUUAUUAUGGUUCAGGGGAAGGGAUUUGACAUGCUGUAUAUCCGACCUGCAGAUUCAUGAGCCAAGUUGUAGUAGCCGUUUGAGUUACUGCUUGUUGUUUCAAUGAAGAUGAUCCAGAAUCUAUAGAAUAAGAGUGUAUAUUUUGCUAAAACUGAAAACCUGGCCCCCGCUUUUUUUUGCUUAUGUUGUUUGUGUUGUGUUUCAUAAAGCCAUCAGCAGUUAAUGAUCUUGUGAUUUACUCAGACAGAAGAGCACCCACCAAAAAAAAAGGUUGAAAACAGAAUUGAAAGUUAUGUUACAACAUAAACUUGGCUUGUGAAAAAGAAACAGUAAUUUUCUAAUGCCACCCAGUUUUCUCAGGGUGAAAAUCAGGACCUUUCCAUGUUGCAAAUAGAUACCAAGUGAACAAAGAUCUUAGUGUGACAUUUUAAAUGCUCCUGAUAUUUUUAAAUGCUUACUCCCAAGCCUUAAAGGGUUUUGUCCGUAGAGAGAUGGGAAAUUUGAGUGGUUUUUUUUUUUCUUUUUUAGAUUUUCUAUUAUGUGAUUCUCUAGAAGUUUUAUGAUAAAGUUCAUCAACAGGCAUGAUUUAAAGAAAAAACAGUUAUAAAAUUCAUGUUGGAAAUCGUGAAUAUUGUGUUAGAUCCUUACAUCAAAGUGGUCAUAGCCUUGAUAGAAAGAAAAUACAGACAACCACUAUCCCCUUAGGUUUAUUUGAAUGCACUUUUUUCUAUGUGAAUAAAAUUUUCUUCUUGAAAUAUCUGUAGCAGGGAGUGAUUUUUGUUGAGAGGCAGUGUGCAUUUUUAAACUUUAUUCCUAUUUUAUUUAUACUCCACUGAAAUAGAUUUAAGAAACAAAAUAUAUUUAAGCAAGGAUCUCCAUUACUUAUGAGAAUUAUGUAUUGUCAAAUUUUAAGUCAUCAUUUUAUUCAAGCAAUCCAAUUAAGGGAGUCUCUUUUGAAGAAGUGGGAAACGUGUCAAGCUCAAACUCUGUGCGGUGUAAAGGUGUCUAUUUCUCAGAAAACCCAGUGUGUUUCAGUUCUUAGAGCAGACACUAUAAAAGAGUCCGUGUCUAAUCCUGUGAGUGAAAUUCUCUUAAAAGAGAAUGCUGAAUACAGAAGAAGGAAGUAGUGAUAGGUAAGAAAAUGUCCUUCUCCAUUCACUUUACAGUACGGCCACUGUUCCCCCCAGCUCAGAUAGCUCUACUUGGAGCACAAUCCCAGGGAUUUCAGGAUCAAGUGGGAAGAAACACAUCUCAGUGACAGGCAUGGCAUUAAACCUGCAGAAUGGCAUUUUAUUGAGUACUUAUUUGUGUUUUCAGGGCUUCUAAAACACAAUAAUGUGUAACCUAUGAGUGAUAUAAAUGCAUUUCAUUAACAGGCAGUACAGAGUUUCAAACGGAAGUAAGUUAAAAAAAAAAGAAAGUAAAUUAAAAUGGAAGUUUAUAUUUUAACGAAGGACAGAAAAUUAUCCUCAGAACAGGUUAAAAAGAAUGAAAAAAAUCUUUUACAUAAUUGCUAGUUCAAAUAAAGAACGUUUCAUUGAAAUGACCCCUACUUUUUUUUGCUUAUGUUGUUUAUGUUGUGUUCAUCAUGGGAUAAUUCAGAUAAUUCAUCAAUGCAAAUUCAUCAUGGGAUAAUCAAUAUAUAUCCUCUCUCUACAGCAUGGAAAAUAAAGAAGUGUUAUAUAAUUUGGUAGGAGAUUAUUAUAUGCACUCAUUUGUAUUACAUGCAUCUAUGAAACAACUGGAGAAAAAUACAAACAAGACCAAAAAAUAUAAUAUUGCAGCAUGAAAAAGUAAACAUUGCAAAAGGUGAGGAAGGGGAAAGGAGCUGAUGUGGGUAAUUUUCAAGACAAUGUAGUUUUAGGACCUUGACAGUGGGUAAAAUUUGUGCCCUCAACAAAAAGUAGCGAAAGGCAUUCCAGACCAUGAAAUCCCAGAAGAAAAUGAAAAAUAAUUAUUUUCCCAGUCCACAUUCAGCUUUUGGUUCAAGGGAUAAGCAUUUAGGAACAAUGCAACUUAUUUGAUCUUCUCCUGCAUAAAUCAUUCAGUUUCUUUAAUGUUCCAGCCAAAGCGUGUGAAGCAAUUUAAUCGCUUGAUUUUGCCAGGCGAUGUAUAAAGACGUAGUCACCUGGAAAAUGCUCAAAGCAUUGACUGAAACCAGUUUUCUUCCACUCUUGCGAAAUGUUCCUUUGUUGCAAUCAGGUUGACUUGAUAG